rnacentral:snoRNA from 14 species
UACCCAUUAAACCUAUAAGGAUAGAUGAGUGGCAAGGUUUUUGCUAAACCACCCCAUUUGGUCCAGUGAGUGGGGCUUGAUAGUAACAUUUGCUACAAAU